rnacentral:rRNA from 1 species
CGGGGUGGAGUAACGCGUGGGCAACCUGCCCUGUACAGGGGGACAACAGCUGGAAACGGCUGCUAAUACCGCAUAAGCGCACAGCAUCGCAUGAUGCCGUGUGAAAAACUCCGGUGGUACAGGAUGGGCCCGCGUUGGAUUAGGUAGUUGGUGAGGUAACGGCCCACCAAGCCGACGAUCCAUAGCCGACCUGAGAGGGUGACCGGCCACAUUGGGACUGAGACACGGCCCAA